AGAUUGAACGCUGGCGGAAUGCUUUACACAUGCAAGUCGAGCGGCAGCGCGGGGGCAACCCUGGCGGCGAGCGGCGAUCGGGUGAGUAAUACAUCGGAACAUGUCCAGUUGUGGGGGAUAGCCCGGCGAAAGCCGGAUUAAUACCGCAUGAGCUCUGGCGAGGAAAGCGGGGGACCCGUAAGGGCCUCGCGCGACUGGGUUGGCCGAUGUCCGAUUAGCUAGUUGGUGGGUAAAGCCCACCAAGGCGAUGAUCGGUAGCUGGUCUGAGAGGAUGAUCAGCCACACUGGGACUGAGACACGGCCCAGACUCCUACGGGAGGCAGCAGUGGGAAUUUUGGACAAGUGGGGGACAACCCGUGGAUCCAGCCAUUCCGCGUGAGUGAAGAAGGCCUUGGUGUAAAGCUCGUUUCGUCCGGUAACGAACGGUUGUAGGUGAAGUAGCCACGUACUACGUAGACGGUAACCGGAAGAACGUAA
rnacentral:rRNA from 1 species